CUCACCUCUAAUGUGCGUCAAUUUUAAGAUAUGCUUGUUAAAUAAAUGGAAUUAUUAUCGAUUUGUUAACCCACCUUGACUGUUCGUCAGUAUGGUGUCUUUCGCACGAAAGAAGGAAACACCUCCUUCGCACCCAUCAACCGUUGAAUCACCCACUGCACAGCUCUCAAAGCGCUCCGAACCCUAUCAUUCGUCCGCCUGCGGAGAUCUAAAGCAAGCGGUGGAUGGUGAAUCCUUCUUUGGCUCGAAGGAUACAACACCGACCCGGGAUAUUGACCUACAUCCGACAAAUAAAAGUGUCUCGCGAAGAGAAAACGAUGAAUUGAACGAAACCUUUCGAGGCUCGUUCUUUCAAAAAGAAGAAAAGGACAAGCUCCCCAGAUUCCGCCAUUAGCUGUUGUAGUGGAAAAGGAGGAAAAUGGCAGUUUAAGUGGAGUCAGAAAGAGAGAUGCUGGAGGCAUAUGCGGAGAAGAUCCCCCGCAUCUAAGCCAACCAAAACUUCGCCACUAAUAUCUCCUUUAUGUGGCGGAUGGACGCAUCUAUAAAAGACCGAACUCCCUCUCUUCCGUGAAGUCCUCUUGUAGGUGCGGUUCCUCCUCCAUGGAUUGCCGCACCAAUGGCCUGGUUGGCCGUCGGCAGCUUCAUCGGUUACCAGAGUAGAGAAUUAAAGCGGCUGUGAUGGUAAUCAGACCAUGCAGGGCAACUUGGCGACUUUGGCAGAAUAUUUGGUGAUAUGACGUGAGGAAAUGAUCCAGAAGAUCCUAUGGGGCUUGGGAUUGAGCAGCGAGGAGCAUAGGAUCUUAGAGGAUAUUUACUUAGUUUGUUUUUGAAUAAAUAUUAAUUUUUACUAUGAUGAGGUACUCCCAGCUAAAAGGGGCAGAAAGAGUCUGUCAUUAUGCGCUCAAGGUCUCCUUGGGCCUCAAUGGUUGUUUGACAGGUUUCAGUUGGUGAAGGGGAUGGCCCUUUGUUGCUUUAGAAUUCAAUUUACUCUUAUGUGGCUGGAUGCAGUUGCUGUUUCUAUUAUAACAAUUAUCUGGAUUAGGGGCCAGCAUGAUUAUAAUACAUUAUGGAUCAUGGAUGAACAAUCACAGUUGGGAGGCACUUGCUGGUCUUUCAAAUACAGUAGCUUGGUCAUCAAUAGUUUGGUCUUUCUCACCAAGCAGCUGACUCAACCGUUUGCUUGUUGCAACAAAGCUCUUUCAACAGGGGGACUGCAUAUUGACUAUGAGACUGCUGUUUUGGAUCCUCUUUCGUUGUUGCCUCUGUCUCCUUUGAAUUUGUUUCAGCUUUUCUCCUAUUAUAUCCAUAUGUUUGCUCUUCUUAUCUUGCCACUCAAUUCUCUAUGUGCACAACAAUACACAUUUCUAUAGUUUGACCGAUAUUGGGAUCCUUAUCUAUUUUUUCUUAGUCCUCCUUUGCUUCAAGUUCCACAUUCUCCAGAGGCUCUGAUUUCUCCUAUCAACUAUUUCUUCUCUUUUCAUAGUAAAUUACAGGUCUGCCUGAAGGAAAGGACACAGCCCCUUCAAGACUUGCAGAGCCACAGCAUAUUUCAGAAGCUCUCUCAAAAGUUGAAAGAGGACAAUGUCUCAGGAAUUUCCAACACCCAUUAUGGAACAUUCAGAAUCCUGGUGUGCUGAUUUGGCUUUACCACAUGCUCUAUUUUCAGCAGAUAAUAUUCUUCUUCCUAAGUAUGGUCAGAUGGGUCGCCAGCUUCAUGGUCUUACUUGUAACAAUGGGACCCCAAAAGAUGAAGAAUGGGUUGGAUGUUCAAGGUUUUGGUUGCCACUUUAUAUCAACAUCUUCUACCUCCAGUUUCAUACUUCUUGAGCAUCACAUUGUCAGUCUGUCGAAUGAUUUUGACUCUUGUAAAUUAUCCCUAAACAUAGGCUAUAUGUUUACAUUUUGGUUGUCUCCCUCAUGCUAUGAACUGCUUAGGCGGCUAUGUUUGCAUGAGCUUUGUGCCGCAGGUAUAAGACUCUGUAUUACGCUGUACAUUGUGACUCAAUAAAGAUCUUCGUGUUACCACAGAAAGAAAAUAAAGAAU